UACGAAGGGGGCUAGCGUUGCUCGGAAUCAUUGGGCGUAAAGCGCACGUAGGCGGCCCCAGCAAGUUGGAUGUGAAAUCCCUCGGCUCAACCGAGGACGUGCAUCCAAAAACUGCUGGGCUUGAGUACUGAAGAGGAUCGCGGAAUUCCCGGUGUAGAGGUGAAAUUCGUAGAUAUCGGGAGGAACACCAGUGGCGAAGGCGGCGAUCUGGGCAGAUACUGACGCUGAGGUGCGAAAGCGUGGGGGAGCAAACAGGG
rnacentral:rRNA from 1 species